rnacentral:lncRNA from 1 species
UUUCAACCAAUGCCACACAAAGUCUGCAAAACCAUAUGUGAAAGUUUAUCACAUAUCUAUAUUUAAUUCACAACAUUAUUCUGUAUUCAUUUUUAACAUUCCAUAGGUUUGAUCCAUUCUUUGAUGAUUCAUGAAGCUGAUCAUGUACCUUUUUUCUUCCUUCCAUUUUCUUCUGGGGAAUGAAAUAUAUAAUGAAAAUAAAUCAUACAAUUUUAACUAUUCUAUCCCUACUAUUCUAUCCCUUUAGACGUAGACCUACGUGAGUCGUGUUAUAACAUUCAAUUCUACGAAUGUUUUUAUACUCUUAACAACCUGAAAUGUGUUAUCAAACGUUGUUGAGUUUUGGAAUUUUUAAAAUUAAUUUCUUAUGUAUUUAGCAAAAGCACUGAUAUAAUUAAUUUUUACAUAGUUGAAAUUAAUAUUCAAUCAAUCAAAAAUCAUAAUUUAAUUAAUCAAGCUAGUACUAUAAUAAAAUCUCUAAGCAUCCAAUAAUAUCAUCGAAAUGUAUUAAAACAUAAUUGAAUGAUCAUCGUUAAGUUCAAAAUCUCAAAAAUAUGUUGAAAUAGGUAAAAUAAUCCUUCGUACCCAAGCUAGAGUAUAAUCAAAUUUGAAAUGUAAAAAAAAUCACAAAAUGAUAUUGCUUAUUGAAUUAAUUAAUUGUUUUUGUCAUCUUUUGUAGUUUUGUUACUUGUGAAACAUAGGCUUUAAAAUAUGCAUGGAUCAAUGACACAUGUCCAUCUGUUCGCCCAAGUGAGGUGGUUCUUAUAAGGAGAAUAUUUAAAGUAAGAGAAGGAGAAUUUAAGGCCCUUGUAAUAGCCUAUUGAAUUGCGAUGGAACAUUGUCGGCUCCAAAACACUUUCAUGAAGAUAGUUGAAUUACUUUGCAUAUGUUGAUAGAAUGAGACUAUCAAAUGGAGUUUUUGAUGGCCAAGGAAAGGCAUGUUCGGAAAAGAAUGAUUGCCAUUAACGUAUAAAUUUUUCUAACCUCCGUAUUGUAAGUUCUAUACCUUUUGUUUUCUCUUCCAUUAACCCCAUUCGUCUUUGUUGAUUCUGAAAGGGUUCGUUGGAUUUUAUUCUCUAUUAUUUUCAUUUUUACAAUUUGGUAAAUGUGUUGUUAGUACCAUAUGAUGAUUAAGAAAUAAAAUAUUGAACUAAAUUUAACCAUAUAAAAUUGAGGCAAAAGAGCUAACUUAUUUUUAAAAAAUAUAUAUCAAGACUAAAUAUUUAGAGAAAACUCAUAUUUUCAUCCCUCCCUAAAAGUUUGUGUGCAUUAUUGCUUUCUCACCGUAUCUCUUACACAACUUAUUGAUCAUAUAAAAUUAUCAAAGUUUAAGAUUUGACUUCAUUACCAAUUCAAUUAUGAGGAGAAUAACAUCAUUCGAUAGCAAAAACUUUCAUGUCAACAUCCUACGGUGAAAGAACCUCACAUUCCAAGGUGUUAACAUAAUUGCACCAGAAGAUCGUCCGAACACAGAUGGAAUACACAUUGAUCGAUCAAUUGGGAUCUCAAUCUUAAAAUCUCGAAUAACAACAAGAGACAAUUGCAUCUCACUUGGAGAUGGAAGCAAACAAAUAAAAGUCACUAAUGUGAUAUGUGGGCCAGGUCAUGGAAUAAGCAUAGGAAAGUCUUGAAAAAUACACUAACAAAGAACCUAUUGGAGGUGUCAUUGUAAAUAACUCCACAAUAAUGUACAUCAUUGAUGGUGUUAGGAUCACAACAUGACCAACCUCUCAUGUUGCUGGUAUUGCCAUCAACAAGAAUUUUUCAGACAUUACAAUGGUCAACGUUAGCAACCAAAUUUUCAUACACCAAGAGUAUUGUCCUUGGAAUCAUAGCAAUCAUCAGGCAUUGAUCACAUUCUUGAAAUUUUGAUUUUAAAAGUUUUCAUGCAUAUUGUCAACUUCAUGGAUAAACUUUAAUUUUCACUCUCAUUUUUCAGAUUUUGUCAAAGAUUAAGUUUAAUAAAGUGAGCUUCAAGAAUAUUAGAGGAAGUUCUGCAACUCCAGUGGAAAUCAAACUUAUUUGUAGUAGCAACCUACCAAGUGAAGAAAUAAAAGUAGCCAACAUUUACUUCGUUUAGAAUGGAAUAAAAGAUUCUAUUAUCUGAACGCGUGUAAGUGUGAAACUUAUUUGUAGUAGCAACCUACCAUGUGAAGAAGUAAAACUUAUGUUUCAUGAUUUUUUUUUUCUAAUAUAAUCUAAAUUUCAACUCACUCAUCCUUGAUUAUUAACGUGCAUUUAAUAUCGCAUAAUUGUUAUGUUGUAGAUUUUUAUAUUGUCGAUUGAAACAUAUAUAGAUCUAUUUUGUUCAACUUGUUUUAAGCCACUUGUGUUGCACACUGUCAGGUUUGAACAUGUGUGGUCUCAAACACGAAUUUAAGGAAUGAAUUUGAUUGGGAUUUAGAGAAUUUAGAAGUACUUCAAAAUUUCAAGGGAUUAUAACUAAUUUUUGACAAAUAUAAACCAUGGUUAUUUAACUUCAACCAUUCAUCGAUCUUUGCCAAAUAUAGUAAAUAAAAUUUGGAAGAGAAUUUUUCAAACACUAUUGAUCUUCUUCUCCUAUAUAAAGAGGGCUGAAUGAAAGUGCAUAUUCAAACCCAUUCUUUUCGAGUUAGCCAUUAGGACAAUAUAUAAGUAAAUAAAUAAAGUAUAGAAGGCGUAGUAGUGAUGGGAUUGGCAUUACUACCUUUCUUUUUAUUGUUGGCAUCUACUAUUGAAGCCCAAUCCCUUUUUGAUGUUACAAGAUAUGGUGCCAAACCUAAUACAGAUAUUACUCAGGCAAGUAUAUAUGCAAAACUGAUGAAUUUUUUUUUUAAUUUAUUAGGAAGAAGACUUUAAUUUGAUGAUAGAACUAAACUUUUGCAGGCCUUAGCAAAUGCAUGGAAGGAAGCAUGUAUGUCCACAACUCCUAGUAAAUUGUUGAUUCCAAAAGGAGUAUACCAAUUAAGUCAAUCUUAUCUUAAAGGACCUUGCAAGAGUGUUCCUAUUCAAGUCCAAGUCGACGGAACACUAAAAGCUCCUCUCCAUCCAAAUGGAGAUGGGUUGGUUCUUUUUGCAUACAUUGAUCAACUAAUGUUAUCAGGCACGGGAGUUUUUGAUGGUCAAGGAAAAGCAGGUUGGGAUAAGAAUGAUUGCCACAAAAAGAAGAUAUGUACCAAACUUCCCAUGGUAAAUUGUUUAUAUAUUAUUUCAAACCUUUUGCCUCAUUUUAUAUACAAUUUAAAUCUACAUAAUUUCAAUUACAUAUGCGUCGUUUUAAAUUGAGAGUUUUUUUUUUUUUUUUAUUCUGAUCCCUUAUUCGUUUAAAUCCAUCAGAAUUUGAAGUUCAGUUUCAUCACCAAUUCAAUUGUGAAGGACAUAACUUCCUUGGACAGUAAAAAUUUCCACAUCAAUCUUUUGGGUUGCAAGAAUGUUACUUUUCAACAUGUGACAAUCAGUGCACCAGAGAAUAGUCCCAACACUGAUGGAAUUCACAUAAGUAGCUCUGAACAGAUAAACAUUCUCGAUUCAAAAAUCUCAACUGGAGAUGAUUGUGUGUCUGUUGGAGAUAGCAACAAGCAAGUAACUAUUACUAAUGUAACUUGCGGACCAGGACAUGGCAUUAGCGUAGGAAGCUUGGGCAAGUACACCAAGGAAAAAGACGUGGUAGGAGUUACUGUGAAAGCAUGCAAAUUAAUCAAUACUACCAACGCGUGUCAGAAUCAAAACCUGGCCAGAUUCUGCCGGUGCAUUCAUAGCCUCUGACAUGCACUUUGAAGAUAUUGAGAUGCAAAACGUGAGCAACCCUGUCAUUAUAGACCAAGAAUACUGUCCGUGGAAUCAAUGCAACAGAAAGGUAUAUAUUGUAUUGAAAUUAUACUUUAUUUUGUUUAUUAGUUAAACUUCAUGAACUAAACAAAUACACUUUUGGGACCAUUAAUAUUUCAGGUUCCAUCCAAGAUUAAGAUCAGCAAAGUGAGUUUCAAAAAUAUUAGAGGCACUUCUGCUACUCCUAUCGCAGUGAAGCUUGUUUGCAGCAAAAGUAUACCAUGUGAAGGUGUAGAAGUCGCUGAUAUUAACCUCACUUAUAGUGGAAUACGAGGACCGAUUUUGUCUGAAUGUGCAAACGUGCAGCCUCUCAUUACUGGAAAGCAAAGCCCUCAAAUAUGUGCUAAGCCUGCUCCUGCUGGUGCUCCAUCAACAGACUAAUCUUUUCAACCAAUGCCACACAAAGUCUGCAAAACCAUAUGUGAAAGUUUAUCACAUAUCUAUAUUUAAUUCACAACAUUAUUCUGUAUUCAUUUUUAACAUUCCAUAGGUUUUAUCCAUUCUUUGAUGAUUCAUGAAGCUGAUCAUGUACCUUUUUUCUUCCUUCCAUUUUCUUCUGGGGAAUGAAAUAUAUAAUGAAAAUAAAUCAUACAAUUUUAACUAUUCUAUCCCUUUAAACACUUUAGUGUAGACCUACGUGGGUCGUGUUAGAAAAUUC